UCUGCAGCCCAUGGGCACCACUCAGUGCAGCAGUGGCUGAGGCCUGAAGGAGCCACAGCCCAUAGAGAGCCCCAGGCCGGAGCUUGGAAUGCUGCACCUGUGGGAAGAUCACAGGGCCUGUUCGGUAAGAAUGGCGUCCCACGCUGGAGAUGGGUUAAAAGAGGGAGGAACCAGGAGCUAGAAUAGUGAAUUCGAGCCUGGAAAGAAGGGGUGACUGGGAAGAAGAUGUCUUCGGCACAAUAUAGUGGCCUGGUUCUGUAGCUGGAAUGUGGUGCUGAGCCUGUGUGACAACUCUCAGGAAUUCUCGAGCAGCUUCACUAUUGAUAACAAAUACAUACACCUGCUCAAAUAAAUAGCAUUGUCCCCAACUUUCUCCCAUGAGGAGCCGUGCAGAAAGGAAAAAACAGCUUUGUUCCAUACCAUUCCUGUUUGUGAAGGCACAGGAGGCUCUGCUUGCUGCUUACUUCAAUAAUGUUUUAUGUGCAUUACACUAAUAACUAAUGCGAGCAUAUUGGCCAUCUUCAUCUUCAUAGAUAAUAAUACUAACUUGAUAUUUGGGGAGUUCAUCAAGUGUUUUAACAUAACAGUCACAUGCAGGAAAGCCCAAACAUUUAAUCUCUUUUUAAUUUUCUUCAAUCUAUUGUCAUGAAUUAAAAGGCUAGAGUUUUCUCACCUUCAUCAUUACAUAAAAAUAUAAACUAGCUAGUAAAGUAAAGAAGGAAGGCGCUCAUAGAUAAUAACAAUUUCAGGGUUCUUUUUAAGAUACAUCUGAGGUGGUAUGUUAAUCCAGUUGUAUUUAACUUGAUAAAUCUGAUUUCAGAUUAGUAUUGUCAAUACUUCCAGAAGGGAAAAAAUCAGAAAAAAGCUUCUUAGCCUGCAGUUUCUCACAUUCAUCCUUGGGUCAAAGAAAAUGCUAAUUACUCUUUAUUUUUUCAGAUCGAACAUUGACUUACUUGUUUACAUUUAAUUCUGAGCCACACAAAUAUACUAUUUCUUCAGUUUCAAAAUGCAUUGUGUUUGGAGAAUUCUUGCUUGUCCCCAUGUAAUUCUGCCAUCAUUCUAAUAAUUGUGAAUUUAGACGGACCUCUCUACCUGGCAUAGUGGCCCAUGGAAUUUGUACGGUCUAUAAACGGUAACUGCCAUUCACUCAUGCAUGUUGGCAAUAUCCUUGUGUGCCCACUACUGCUUUUAAUAUAACUCAUUUGAUAUGCCUUUAUUAUGACUCAAGUACUUACUCUAUGACUCAUUGUCUCAAGACAGAUAAUCAGCUUUAAUGUAGGAAAAAAGCAUUGCUUGGCUUAUUGCUUAAAAACUGCUAGACUUAAAAAGGGUAAAUACGCAAAAUAAAUAAAUUGUGCUUUGUUUACUUGUAUUUAUCCAAAGUGUUGAAAUUUAAAAGUUGGCAGUUUGCCUAAGUUUUGAAGUCCAAUAAACAUGCAUUCUCAACUAAGCUAAUACACAUCAUUUACCUUGUUUAGAUGUUCAAAGCUUGCUUCAAGUAAAACAAAAUGCAUGGGAUGCUGAUGGAUGUAGAGAGUUUUCUUUUGAUCUACAUCACAUGAAUUGUAACAUACGGGUGAUUAAACAAGGGUAUGAGUUUUGUUCCUUUUCAAUGCUGCACCACUCUGAAGAUUACCAAAGUAUUCUCUGUUUUAGUAUAUGGUCACAAUCUGACAACCAGUAAAUUACUUGAGCUCUGUUGGCUUCAUGUCUUUUAUUCAGA